rnacentral:rRNA from 1 species
UACAGAGGUGGCAAGCGUUGUUCGGAAUUACUGGGCGUAAAGGGCGCGUAGGCGGCCUUCUAAGUCGGACGUGAAAUCCCUCGGCUCAACCGAGGAACUGCGUCCGAUACUGAAAGGCUUGAAUCCGGGAGAGGGAUGUGGAAUUCCAGGUGUAGCGGUGAAAUGCGUAGAUAUCUAGAGGAACACCGGUGGCGAAGGCGGCAUCCUGGACCGGCAUUGACGCUGAGGCGCGAAAGCUAGGGGAGCAAACGGG